rnacentral:rRNA from 1 species
UACGUAGGGUGCGAGCGUUGUCCGGAAUUACUGGGCGUAAAGAGCUCGUAGGUGGUUUGUCGCGUUGUUCGUGAAAACUCACACUCAAUUGUGGGCGUGCGGCGAUACGGGCAGACUGGAGUACUGCAGGGGAGACUGGAAUUCCUGGUGUAGCGGUGGAAUGCGCAGAUAUCAGGAGGAACACCGGUGGCGAAGGCGGGUCUCUGGGCAGUAACUGACGCUGAGGAGCGAAAGCGUGGGGAGCGAACAGG